rnacentral:lncRNA from 1 species
AUUGGAAGAAACUGUGUUGUGCAUGGUUUUGAUCAUGAAAGAAAUUAUCUCUUUUGGACAGUGACUGGAGACAACAUUCAUUCUUCAGCUUUGUGUGACUUUGAUGGUGAUAAGAAAGAAGAAAGAGCUUCGUGUUGAAUCCAAGGAUUUUGAUGUCGAGUUUUUAAAGAAGAUGAGAUUGUGGCAGAAAUGACAGAAACAGAGAUGAUCAUCUCUCUGUCCCAUGGAUGGCAGCCAAUUUGGGUACACCACCCAAAGACAUCCUUGUUGAAAGCCCUAGGGAUUACAAAAGCAGCACCCAGUUCUAUGUAUUUUACUUGACAAGAUAGCUGCCCCAAUUCUUCUGUAUGCACUGACCAGCCCA